rnacentral:ribozyme from 1 species
UUUUUUUUUUUUUUUUUUUUUUUUUUUUGUAUCUCUCUUCAGAUGUGCAA